rnacentral:rRNA from 1 species
UACGGGGGGGGCAAGCGUUGUUCGGAAUUACUGGGCGUAAAGGGCUCGUAGGCGGCCAACUAAGUCGGACGUGAAAUCCCCAGGCUCAACUUGGGAACUGCGUCUGAUACUGGAUGGCUUGAAUUCGGGAGAGGGAUGCAGAAUUCCAGGUGUAGCGGUGAAAUGCGUAGAUAUCUGGAGGAAUACCGGUGGCGAAGGCGGCAUCCUGGACCGAGAUUGACACUGAUGAGCGAAAGCCAGGGGAGCAAACGGG